AAUGUACUUUUUGCAACCAAUUCUAUUUAUACUGUCUUUGAAAUUUGCAAAACGUAGAGUAGAAAUCAGACUUGUAUUUGAGUGUAUAAAACUAUGAGUGUCAAGACCACUUAUCUAUAAGUAUUACAUAAAACCAAAAGCUCUGACCAUAAAAAGUUGGUGCAGAUUUCCAAAAUUGAAGUAACCCUUUCAAGAGGUCUUGUUGUAGAAAAGAUGAAGAUAUAAAAGAUUGUUGUCUAGAGAAAUGGAAGACCUUUAUUUGUUGUUGAUGCUUUGAAAAGUAUAAACUAUUACGCCCUCGUUGUUAUUUUUCUUUCCUUAACACACACCCUAAUUCAUAUCCAAGGUAUGUAUGUAGUACUGCAAAUUCUUGGAUGAGUUGAUUACAUGAGCUGUUGCUCCAGCUACGACAUAUCUUCCGACUUGGUUUUGUUGUUUGAAACGUAGUUGAUUAUCUACAUUUUUUGACCAAUGAAGAUUUUAGAUCUGAUGCAUAUGAAUAUUUCUUUUAAAAAGUUAAUUAUGUAAUUAUUGAUUCUAACAACUGAUUGCAAAGUUGAUCGUUUGGACAUUUCCAUUCAUAGAUGUGGAUCGGUCUCUUUCAGGCAGAAGAUCAAUCGAUGUACGAUGGUGGACCAAGUGAGGUCUCCUUCUAUGUCAGUUCUACAUUAGGGAAAUGAAUGCCUAAACAGCUCAGCUUAUGGAGUAAGGAGUCUUAUUUUUCACAAAAAAAUAGAAUAGCUCUGUAUAUUGAUGUGAUGAUGCCAAAGGUAAAGCUGUGAAUCAGAAGCUGUCAUUCUGAAAAGUUCUAUAAGCCCUAAAUUUGAAACAGGGACAAAAGCAAGUUUUUGAUCGUAGUCUUUUGGUUGGUUGCUUCGGUUUGUGUUCUGUAAAUAUACAACAACAAAUCGUAGACUCCGUACAAAACACUUCCAUGAUUUACCUAUUAGUCCUUUGUUCUUCAAUGAGAUAGUUACUCUGAGAAUGAUGUGUUACUGUGUUAGGCGUUGUACUCUUUGUUCUUGAACAACAAAUGAUGAAUUUUUCC